CUGAGCCAGCCAGACACCCCUCUUCAGUUCUACUACAGAUGGUGGGUGACCUCCCCGGCCCCUUAAAGCUCUCAGCAGGAGCUCCUGCCACUGCCUCUGUGGAAAAGGCCUGAAUCAGGGAACAGAAGACCUCAGAAGACUUACAAGUUCAUCUGAAAGACUGGACAAGCUUCCUAUAAGCAUGACUGCAGUUAUAGAAGGGAAGAGGCAGUGACCUGGAUUCAAAUCACAGCUCACAAAACUACUUCCUAGCUUUGUGACCUUGGUAAUUUUGUUUUCACUUCCUUCACCUGUAAAAUAGGAGAAUAACAGUUUCUACCUUACCGGUCACUGUGAGGAAUAAACAAGUUGAUAUAUGGA